GUUCUAAAGCAGCUACAGCACCAGUACAGCUGAUACUCAAGGUUCAGAUCAGAAGAGGAGGCUUCUCACCCGACAGCAGGGACCUGUGAGCAUGGCAUGCCCCGGCUUCCUGUGGGCACUUGUGAUCUCCACCUGUCUUGAAUCCGGCAUGGCUCAGACAGUCACUCAGUCUCAACCAGAGAUGUCUGUGCAGGAGGCAGAGACCGUGACCCUGAGCUGCACAUAUGACACCAGUGAGAGUAAUUAUUAUUUGUUCUGGUACAAGCAGCCUCCCAGCAGGCAGAUGAUUCUCAUUAUUCGCCAAGAAGCUUAUAAGCAACAGAAUGCAACGGAGAAUCGUUUCUCUGUGAACUUCCAGAAAGCAACCAAAUCCUUCAGUCUCAAGAUCUCAGACUCACAGCUGGGGGACGCCGCGAUGUACUUCUGUGCUUAUAGGAGCUAUCUUCAGGGCGGAUCUGAAAAGCUCGUCUUUGGAAAGGGAACAAAACUGACAGUAAACCCAUAUAUCCAGAACCCUGACCCUGCCGUGUACCAGCUGAGAGGCUCGAAAUCCAAUGACACCUCUGUCUGCCUAUUCACUGAUUUUGAUUCUGUAAUGAAUGUGUCACAAAGCAAGGAUUCUGACGUGCAUAUCACAGACAAAACUGUGCUAGACAUGAGGUCUAUGGACUUUAAGAGCAACGGUGCUGUGGCCUGGAGCAACAAAUCCGAUUUUGCAUGUACAAGCGCCUUCAAGGACAGCGUUAUUCCAGCAGACACCUUCUUCCCCGGCACAGAAAGUGUCUGUGAUGCCAACCUGGUUGAGAAAAGCUUUGAAACAGAUAUGAACCUAAACUUUCAAAACCUGUCAGUGAUUGGGUUCCGAAUCCUCCUCCUGAAAGUGGCCGGGUUUAAUCUGCUCAUGACGCUGCGGCUGUGGUCCAGCUGAGGUCUGCAGGAUUGUAAGACAGCCUGUGCUCACUCGUUCCUUCCUCUGCAUCACCCCUCCUCUCCCUCUCCAAGCAAAGGGAGCUCUCCCACCCCCAUGGAGGAGAAAGCUGCUACCACCUCUGUGCCCCCCGGCAAUGCCACCAACUGGAUCCUACCCAAAUUUGUGAUUAAGAUUGCCGAAGAGCUGCCAAACACCGCUGCCACCCCCUCUGUUCCCUUAUGGCUGCUUGUCACUGCCUGACAUUCACGGCAGAGGCAAGGCUGCUGCAGCCGCCCCUGGCUGUGCACAUUCCCUCCCGCUCCCCAGAGACUGCCUCCACCACCCCACAGAUGAUGGAUCCUCAGUGAGUUCUCUUGAGCUCUAGGUCCUGGAGAACGUUGUGAGGGGUUUAUAUUUUUUAAAUAGUGUUCAUAAAGAAAUACAUACUAUUCUUCUUCUCAAGACAUGGGGGGAAAUUAUCUCAUUAUCGAGGCCCUGCUAUGCUGUGUAUCUGGGUGUGUUGUAUAUCCUGCUGCCAAUGGCUUCAUUAAAAUGGUUUGGAAGAGCA